rnacentral:rRNA from 1 species
AUGAACGCUGGCGGCGUGCCUAAUACAUGCAAGUCGAGCGAACAGAUGAGGAGCUUGCUCCUCUGACGUUAGCGGCGGACGGGUGAGUAACACGUGGAUAACCUGCCUAUAAGACUGGGAUAACUUCGGGAAACCGGAGCUAAUACCGGAUAAUAUAUUGAACCGCAUGGUUCAAUAGUGAAAGACGGUUUUGCUGUCACUUAUAGAUGGAUCCGCGCCGCAUUAGCUAGUUGGUAAGGUAACGGCUUACCAAGGCAACGAUGCGUAGCCGACCUGAGAGGGUGAUCGGCCACACUGGAACUGAGACACGGUCCAGACUCCUACGGGAGGCAGCAGUAGGGAAUCUUCCGCAAUGGGCGAAAGCCUGACGGAGCAACGCCGCGUGAGUGAUGAAGGUCUUCGGAUCGUAAAACUCUGUUAUUAGGGAAGAACAAAUGUGUAAGUAACUAUGCACGUCUUGACGGUACCUAAUCAGAAAGCCACGGCUAACUACGUG